rnacentral:rRNA from 1 species
CGUGAGGAGGCUACCAUGCAGUCGAACGGUAACAGGAAGCAGCUUGCUGCUUCGCUGACGAGUGGCGGACGGGUGAGUAAUGUCUGGGAAACUGCCUGAUGGAGGGGGAUAACUACUGGAAACGGUAGCUAAUACCGCAUAACGUCGCAAGACCAAAGAGGGGGACCUUCGGGCCUCUUGCCAUCGGAUGUGCCCAGAUGGGAUUAGCUAGUAGGUGGGGUAACGGCUCACCUAGGCGACGAUCCCUAGCUGGUCUGAGAGGAUGACCAGCCACACUGGAACUGAGACACGGUCCAGACUCCUACGGGAGGCAGCAGUGGGGAAUAUUGCACAAUGGGCGCAAGCCUGAUGCAGCCAUGCCGCGUGUAUGAAGAAGGCCUUCGGGUUGUAAAGUACUUUCAGCGGGGAGGAAGGCGAUAAGGUUAAUAACCUUGUCGAUUGACGUUACCCGCAGAAGAAGCACCGGCUAACUCCGUGCCAGCAGCCGCGGUAAUACGGAGGGUGCAAGCGUUAAUCGGAAUUACUGGGCGUAAAGCGCACGCAGGCGGUCUGUCAAGUCGGAUGUGAAAUCCCCGGGCUCAACCUGGGAACUGCAUUCGAAACUGGCAGGCUAGAGUCUUGUAGAGGGGGGUAGAAUUCCAGGUGUAGCGGUGAAAUGCGUAGAGAUCUGGAGGAAUACCGGUGGCGAAGGCGGCCCCCUGGUCAAAGACUGACGCUCAGUGCGAAAGCGUGGGGAGCAGACAGGAUUAGAUACCCUGCUAGUCCACGCCGUAACGAUGUCGACUUGGAGGUUGUGCCAUGAAGCGUGCUUCGGAGCUACGCGUUAGUCGACUCGGCCUGGGGGGAGUACGG